rnacentral:tRNA from 1 species
GCAGUGGUGGUUCAGUGGCAGAAUUCUUGCCUUCCAUGCAAAAGAUCCAGGUUCGAUUCCCUGCCAGUGCA